GUCUGGAUUAUAUCCUCUUCUUCAGGACCUUGGAAGAUAACACCUACUGUCACUGCUGGGGCAGUGCUAAUUGCUGGAACAACACCUGUUUCUCAGGGCCCUGAGAAAGAAGGGCAGAACCCGAGGAAUCAAAGCACAUUUGUCAGCAGAAACCGCAACAGUAAAGAUAAGGGAGAAAAGCAGCCUGCCUGGGAACAACGAUGAGACCCAAUAGGGAGCAGGAGACCCCAGACCCAAAAAAUACUAUUGGUCUGAACUACCGCGUGAGGGGUGGGAAACUUAAUUUGAAAAAGCUAUAAUUGCCCAGGGAUUUCUUUGUUCAGGGUCCCUCUUCGGAGGCACCCAGCUCGAGCUGUAACUACUGCACGCGUGUCAUUACAAUUUAUUUAUUUAAUUUGCCUUGAUUUGGCUCCGAAAUUUUCAGCAGGAACCUAGGGUCGGACCCUGCUCGAGUUGUAAUUACUGCACGCGCAUCGCUAAAAUUUACACCCUGGGCGAAGAGGACCAACGGGACGCCGCUGGAUCCACGGGUGAUGAAGAGGGAAUAGUGGACUCAAACUGGUCUGAAGCUGAUGAAUUAGCUGUCACCCAACAAAACUCCCCAGUGCCAAGCGUAUCUGACACUAGCACAUCGCAGCGCUGCUUGGAUGGUCUGCGGGAACAGAUGUGCUCCCGUGUGACAGGCUAACAACUGACAGUGAAAUGCUAUGCCAACACAGUUGAAGUUAUUUUCCAAACUGCUUCACAAUAUAAAGAAUAAUUUCAGAAGAAAUACAAUAGCGCAAGACCUUCUAUCCAGCCUGAACAUACUCUCCUCCUAACCCACGUUUAGGCAAUCGGGAUCUGAAUACAUACUCAACAUGCAUGAACUAUGCAGCUAGUGUUAAACUUUACUAUAAAAACUGCAAGUGUUAGCCUCUGUUGUUAGUGUAAAUCUCCUUGUGGGAAGUGGGAAGACUCUGACUUUCCAAAAGAUUUGGCAGUGAGGGUAUUUAUAUACUGCAGCACACCUUCUCUGCAUAGUCGAAUGUCACAGUUAUUUCUUUAAUUAAAAUUGUUCUAAUGUUUUUUAUGUUCCAGAAGUCUGAAUUCACCCACCCACAAGUUCUGAAUACCUUCAUAAUUUACAUAUAUUAUUGUGAAUCUCCAGAGACUUCAUUUUGCCAACCUAUUUAUGUCUAUAUUUUUAACAGAGCUGUGCAGGGGAGUUAAGCCAAUGAGGCUAUAUAAAAGUAUUAAGGUUUAUAUUUAAAUUUCAUGUGAAUAGGCAAUUUACAUAGAAUUGCACUUUGCUAAAAGCAGAUUGCUGAUUCUUAUGUCUUUGACUUUGAAAAUAACAGAAUUCAAUGUCAGUUUAGCCUACGGUAUGAAUACCCACUUUGGAUAAUCAGUAAUGUCCCAUAAUUGUAUACGAAAAUCAUUUAAUGGUAGUUUCGGCUUCCUAGCUGGGUAGCAAUUCAUUCCAACCAUCCAUAAUUCAAUCAGAUUACAUCUUGUUUUACAUAUUUUAAUAGAUGCUUUCUUCUGGUUAUUUUACAAAUUAUAUAUGCAAAUGAUGUAUUAAAUAAUUAAUGAAGCACCUUGUUUUGCUUGUAGCUACAAGUGAUGCUUUUCUUCACAAAUAUAUUUAGGCAGUAGUUCUCUUCACAGCAAGAUUUUUGCAUAAUAUUUUAAAAGAUAUUUAAACUCUUGCCGUGAUGAAGGCUUAUUUAGAAACACCAAGUAUAAUUUACUAACCUGAUUUAUGAAGCAAUUUAUACAAUCUAUUAAAAUAGCAUUGUAGAAUUUUAUUACAUAGGGAUACUCAUCUUUUUAGAAGAGUCUAAAUUCUUUAACACUUGGGCAACUCUGUAUUAUUACAUUCUAUGAUAGAACAAAGUAUAGCAUGGUAAUUAUCUCUCCUGUUUUAUUAAAGCUUUAUAAAACUGUUAGAGGUUAAUGCCGCAGUUAUUUUUUCCUGCUGCCGAAUUUUACCCUAUAAUACUCAGUGAAAGGGAAAUAGCAUUUAUCUCUUAUUAGACAUAUAGUAAAUGAUGUAAUGGAAUAUUAUGUGUUAUGUAUUUAUCUAAAAUUGUAUAUAUAAAUGUGUAUGUGUGUGUAUUGCAAGGAUACUUUUAAUAAUAAAGAUUUCAUGUUCUGCCCCUUAACCUAUUGCAUAAAAGUGCCAAUGUUUAAGUACUA